rnacentral:tRNA from 1 species
GGAACUUUGGUGUAUUUGCAUAGACUAUUUUCGUUGGUUAGGUUUGAAAGUUCUU